UCUGUGUUCCAUAUGUACAUUGCACUGCAGC
rnacentral:piRNA from 1 species